GUGUGCCCAGCUCAGUCUUUCCCUCAGCCACCCAGGUGUUGAUGGCAUGUGCUAGGCCUUGGGGACCAGCACGCUUGUUAAGGGGGACCUCAAAGGGAAGGGUUGGCUUCUCCUGGGUUAUGGGGUCGGACGGAACAGAGGUGAAACAUCUUGUCUGUCAUGUCCUAAAAAUAUAAUCUCAUACUGGGCACUCAGCUUUUCUGAACCUCAGUCUCCUUGUCUCUAAAAUGGGGAGAAGGAUGCCUUCCGUGCGGUGGUGUGGUUGAGCAGGUUCAUGAGCUCAGCUCGCAGAGACUCGGCCUGGCCUGGUGUAGGCUUCCCUGAACAUUGGCAGGAGCCUCUCCCCUUCUUUGGGAGCCCAGAGGGUGUGGGAGGGCCCUGGGGAGAUCACCCUGAGGAAGCUGGAGGGGAAGGGUCCAGGCCUGGAUGAAGGAGGGUGCUGAGUUGAGACUUGUGGGACUGUAAGAAUGUCCUGGAAGGUGGUGGGUAAAAAGUGCCCCUCCCCCCCACCCCCCCAACUGUGGGCCAGAAAAUAACUGAACAAGGCCAGGAACGAGGGGCAGGUGCGGAUGGGAAAGCCUUGCCAGCAGGGAUCUGGCUGAGGCCAGUUGGGCUAGAUGAAACCAACGAAUGGGUAGUUGAGCCAGGGGGCUUGUGGAGUUUGGGAGGAAGAGGGACCAGUUGAGGCCAGAGGAACUAGGUGAGCCUGGGGGUAAUUAGCUGAGGCCAGGGACCUAGCUGGAUUGCUUUAGCUACACGGACCAGAACUACUCAGACUGCCUAAGCUGGUGGAGCAGGGCUCAGGGACACGAGGAAGUCCUUGUGCAAGACAGCUGUCCACAGCUCCCAGGGCAGCCCUGGCCAGCCUUCCUUUCCAUCUGGGGCCUCUCGGCCUUCCUGGUCACCACCCAGCAGCCUGGACCCCAAGGAAGUUCUGGAUCGCCCUGUCCAAAGCAGGUCAAGAAUACAGUAGAGGAAGUGAGGCGCCUGGAGCAAAAGCUUCCGCUGCUGGAGAGUCUACUUGUGUGGAAGCUGCUGAGUCCUUGCCAUUUACAACACCUUCUCCCAGGGUGUCCUGAGUCUUAUCUGGCAAUGGUAAGGCUGCUCCAUCUAUUCAGGGACCCAGGUGAGGACUCCACCAGGAGUAGGAAGACUACCACGCUCCCACAGCUGGUAGAAGGCAUCUCAGAUCUGUAAGCUCUGGAGGCUGAGAAGUCCAAGAUCAAGGUUCUAGAGAUUCUAUGUCUGUCCAGGGCCUUCUUCCGGGAUUGCAGACAGCCAUGGGGAGAGAGAGAUCAUCUCUCAGAUUAAACUUCUCAUGAAACAUGGGAGGGGACAUGGCGACCCAUGAAACCUGAUGCGUAUCCUCAGACUUCCGACCCAAAGGAGGAAAAGGCUCCUCUCUCCCAGAUCCAGUUUAAAAGUUCCUGUGCAGAACAGUGAUAGACAAGGGUUUCUGUGCUCAUUCCUGGGGCUAAUUUGUGGCAUGGAGGGACAGGAAAAUGCCAUGAAUGUAGUCAGGAGGGCAGAAUCUGCUCAUAAAAGAAUAAGGAGGGGGCUGGGCUGUCUGAACAGAAGCUGUGUCCUAUGUCUCCCUUCUUCUGAGAACCAUUCUCUUCCCUUCCAGCCAGAGGGAGCCAUCGUGGAAGGCCGAUGCUGCCCCUUCACCCCAUCGGUUAGACAUGGGCAUCUGCUAGCACUAUAGCAUCCUCUUCCAGGAGUUCAAAGCUGGGCUCAGAGGUACCAGAGCAGUCUGUGGCUUGCCCGUACUGACAGGCCCUUACAGGGGCCAUGUCUUCACCAUCAGGGUGGGAAGACUGAGAAACAAAAGACGGCCAGCUUCCAAACUAGAGGAAAAGGAAACAGCAACUUACAGAGGGAAGCAGAUGCCAAGGGCUGAGCAUUCUCAUGGGAUUUCCAUCCUGGUUCCUCUGAUUCCUGGUGUCCAGCCAUCUCCCCACCUGCUGCCAGCUCUACAGGACACCCUGGAUCCGUGUAUCCCCUCCCUCUCCCUUAAGGAAGCUCAAAUUGCACUUCUUGUCAUUAAAAGCAUUCUGCAGGCACCUGGGUGUCUCAGUCGGUUAAGCAUCUGACUCUUGGUUUCGGCUCAGGUCGUG